GUCUUUUUGAGAAUAAUUUAAAGUCAAAUCUGCCCACUGAUUUUAUUAAAGGGCUGGCAGUAAACUGACUGUACAAAGGUAGCAUAAUAAUUAGUCUUUUAAUUGAAGACUUGAAUGAAGGAUUUCAUGAGAUAUAGACUGUCUCUUUUAUAUAAUUUGAAUUUAAUUUUUUAGUAAAAAAGCUAAAAUUUAUUUAAAAGACGAGAAGACCCUAUAGAGUUUCAUAUUUGAUUUAAAUUAUAAUUUUUUAUUAAAAUUAAAUAAAAAUUAAAUUAAAUAUUUUAUUGGGGUGAUAGAAAAAUAAAAUUAACUUUUUUUAUAGGAUAAAUGUAUAUCUUGCAUAUUUUAACCAUUAAUUAAUGAAAAAAUGAUCCAUAAUUUAUGAUUAUAAGAAAAAAUUACCUUAGGGAUAACAGCGUAAUUUUUUUUUUUAGCUCAAAUAAGAAAAAAAGUUUGCGACCUCGAUGUUGGAUUAAGAUAAAAUUUAAAUGUAGAAGUUUAAAAUUUUUGAUCUGUUCGAUCAUUAAAAUCUUACA
rnacentral:rRNA from 1 species